AAAAAAGCCAGUGUUUCACCAUGGCUUAGAAAAUGGGCGCUUGCUGCUGACAGGGUUGUCUAAGCCACUCGGUGAUGGCAAUAAUAGCCUUUGUGCGUCACUCUGUAAGGUCAGGGGACGCUGAAAUUAUCUUAAAGUCAAAGGUCAAAUGGUGUAUCUAAAAUUCUAAACAUUUAUUACCACAAGCCAAACCUUUUUGGAUUCUUCAUGGUCAACUAAGUGUAAAAUUCAUGCUACCAAAGUACAAAGUAAGAACUUGUGUUUCUGAUAGUUCUUUCCCAACACUCAGAUGGACUGUUUCAUUCGUCAGUAAAAGGAUGCAGGUUAGUUGCAAAAACAAACACCCCCAGAGGAUGUGAAGUCAUUCUCUAUAAAGACUUGAAAAUCAAGUUCUUUACAGAAAAGAAUUUGCCACCUCCCGAUCAAGAACUGUGAAGAGUCGAAGAUUCUAUUUUCCUUGCAAGCUGAUUGAUUAGUUUGCAAGUUUCAUGAAUGCUGACACAGAGACAACACACCUGGAUCAACAAUGAGGGGUUUUAUUACUGAAAGCAGUCACCAGACUGUCAACACAGGUGAACUGGUCUCCUGAGCCCCAGUUCCAACAGGCUGGAGUGCAGUGCCACGAUCUCAGCUCACUGAAGCACUGAUCUCCCAGGCUCAAGCAAUCGUCCCAGCUCAGCCCCAUGGAAGUAGCUGAGACUACAGGUGCCCCUGGUGAUACGUGUUUGCAAGUCAUUGACACAAGUGAAGUUUCCACCAAGAUUCAGCUGAGACCUUGCUGUUGCAGGCUAAGAUCCUCAGCCCUCUGGUGUGGCCUUCACAUCUGGCAUCUUGUGUCUUCUCCUGAUCAGGGCCCCCAGGCACACAAUGAGGAGGAAUGAGGUGUCCUGGCAUCCUUCCAUCAUCUGAUCAGACUUGUAUUGUUCCUUGACGGAACUGCUGGCUAGCUGCUAGCAGUUCCUUUUAUGGUCUGUCUGCUUAUCUAGUUGUUGAUUAGAGGAAAUGUCUACAAGAAGAUACCAGGCAGAGGCCCUAUGAUUCUAUCCGUUUGCUGGCCCUGGGGGCUGGGAAGUUCACAAGGUCUCUUCAGACCAUUGAACCAACUUUGUCUUGACUCUCCAUUAAAAAUUAUACACAGAUACCCUCCUUAGUUUGUC